rnacentral:tRNA from 1 species
GGUGUUGUGGCUCAGUGGUAGAGCAAUUGCCUUGAAUGUGUGAGGCCCUGAGUUCAAUCCUCAGCACCA